CGAGGGGCAUGUUAUACGAGUUUUCCUUUUUCAUUUUUUUCUUUUUCGUUUUUGCCUAUGUAAACGGAAACGAAACCCGUUAUGAGUUUUUCUUUUUCGUUUUUGCUCUAGAGGCAUGUGAUUGUGGUCGGUUGUAACCGGAAGAACAUUGUAUUCCCUUUUCGUUUCAUAGUGAAGCUCUCUCCUCCCCUGCAAAGGGUUUUCCACGUAAAUAUGUGUCUCUUUAUUUUCUGCUUGUGGUUUGAUUGUUUUUUGUGUUCGUCAUUUCGUUUCCGUUUGUGCGUUUGUCGUAACAGUAACAAUAUCCCCAAAGCCUUUCCAAAUCUCAGAAAUUACAUUCAACACAAAAACAGCCUCUGCAGCAUUGAGUACCUUCACACGUAUUGGAGUACCGGUACUCGGUAGUUUCGGUACCAGGGGUCCAGUUCCGC
rnacentral:lncRNA from 1 species